rnacentral:rRNA from 1 species
AUGGCUUUAUACGAAUUAGCAGUUUUUGAUCCCUCUGAUCCUGUUAUGGAUCCAAUGUGGAGACAAGGGGUGACUUGCUUUGGCUUUGGGGCAUUUCAUGUAACGGGUUUGUAUGGUCCAGGGAUAUGGGUAUCCGAUCCUUAUGGACUAACUGGAAAAGUACAAGCUGUACAUCCAGCGUGGGGUGCAGAAGGUUUUGAUCCUUUUGUUCCAGGGGGAAUAGCUUCUCAUCAUAUUGCUGCGGGUACAUUGGGUAUAUUAGUGGGCUUAUUCCAUCUUAGUGUCCGUCCGCCUCAACGUCUAUAUAAAGGAUUACGUAUGGGCAAUAUUGAAAAUGUACUUUCCAGUAGUAUCGCUGCUGUUUUUUUUUUUGCAGAUUUCGUAGUUGCUGGAACUAUGUGGUAUGGGUCAGCAACGACCCCAAUCGAAUUAUUUGGGCCUACUCGUUAUCAGUGGGACCAGGGAUACUUUCAGCAAGAAAUAUAUCGAAGAGUUAGCAAUGGUUUAGCCGAAAAUCUUAGUUUAUCAGAAGCUUGGUCUAAAAUUCCCGAAAAAUUAGCCUUUUAUGAUUAUAUUGGUAAUAAUCCGGCAAAAGGGGGAUUAUUCAGAGCAGGCUCAAUGGACAAUGGGGAUGGAAUAGCUGUUGGAUGGUUAGGACAUCCCGUCUUUAGAGAUAAAGAAGGAUGUGAGCUUUUUGUACGCCGUAUGCCUACUUUUUUUGAAACAUUUCCGGUUGUUUUGGUAGAUGAGGAGGGAAUUGUUAGAGCAGACAUUCCUUUUAGAAGAGCAGAAUCCAAAUAUAGUGUUGAACAAGUAGGUGUAACGGUGGAGUUCUAUGGUGGCGAACUUAAUGGAGUAAGUUAUUCUAAUCCUGCUACUGUAAAAAAAUAUGCGAGGCGUUCUCAAUUAGGGGAAAUUUUUGAAUUAGACCGGGCGACUUUGAAAUCUGAUGGUGUUUUUCGCAGCAGUCCAAGGGGUUGGUUCACUUUUGGUCAUGCUACCUUUGCUUUGCUCUUCUUUUUCAGACACAUUUGGCAUGGCGCUAGAACAUUGUUCCGAGAUGUUUUUGCUGGUAUUGAUCCAGAUUUGGAUGCUCAAGUGGAAUUUGGAACAUUCCAAAAAGUGGGAGAUCCAACUACAAGGAAACAGGCAGUCUGA